rnacentral:rRNA from 1 species
AUACGGAAGGUCCGGGCGUUAUCCGGAUUUAUUGGGUUUAAAGGGAGCGCAGGCGGAGAUGCAAGCGUGACGUCAAAUUUCGGGGCUCAACCCCGUCUCGCGUCGCGAACUGCGUCCCUUGGUUGCGGGAAGGGGAGGCGGAACUCGUGGUGGAGCGGUGAAAUGCAUAGAUAUCACGAAGAACUCCGAUCGCGAAGGCAGCCUUCCGGCCCGUCAACGACGCUCAUGCUCGAAGGUGCGGGUAUCAAACAGGAUUAGAUACCCUGGUAGUCCGCACAGUAAACGAUGGACACCCGCGGUUUGGCCUAUAUGGCUGAGCCGCCAAGCGAAAGCGUUAAGUGUCCCACCUGGGGAGUACGCCGGCAACGGUGAAACUCAAAGGAAUUGGCGGGG